AGGAAGAUAUCGUGAGCCCAUGAUAACAAUGUGUUGGAGACAACUAGCACUAGGGUAUAGGGAUAAAGAGCACAAAGAAGGGGGAGGAUACUGAAGCGAGUACUUUGUUGACUAUUUCCUCAAUUGUUUUGUUUUGACCAC
ensembl:ncRNA F10D7.8 ncRNA